rnacentral:rRNA from 1 species
UACGAAGGGGGCUAGCGUUACUCGGAUUGACUGGGCGUAAAGGGCGCGUAGGCGGUUCGUACAGUCAGACGUGAAAUUCCUGGGCUCAACCUGGGGGCUGCGUUUGAUACGUGCGGGCUUGAGUUCGGAAGAGGGUCGUGGAAUUCCCAGUGUAGAGGUGAAAUUCGUAGAUAUCGGGAGGAACAUCCGUGGCGAAGGCGGCCACCUGGACCAGCACUGACACUGAGGCACGAAGGUCAGGGGAGCAAACGGG